rnacentral:lncRNA from 1 species
UUCCCUUUUUGACAUAAAUAUCAGCAAGAUUCGAGGACGAAUCUUUUCUAAAGAAGGAGAGAAUGAUACGGAUCCAAUAGGGCAAAUUUCUAACAAUGGUGUGGAACAAACUUAUGUCAUUCAAAUGGAUCUAAAAGGAGUUCAAAAUCAUAUUCAUAUGAUCCAUAUAUAUUUGGGGCGUGCUUCAACUCAUAUGGGAUAGAUUUGGUGCAACACUUGCAAUCAUAGGCUUAGGGAGCCUAAUCAAACCUAUGGGCUAAAACUACACAAAGGGAAGCCUAAAGUGAAGAUCAAGUAA